CAGCAGUGAGGAAUAUUGGUCAAUGGGCGCGAGCCUGAACCAGCCAAGUCGCGUGAGGGAAGACGGCCCUACGGGUUGUAAACCUCUUUUGCCGGGGAGCAACGGGCGCCACGUGUGGCGCCACUGAGAGUACCCGGAGAAAAAGCAUCGGCUAACUCCGUGCCAGCAGCCGCGGUAAUACGGAGGAUGCGAGCGUUAUCCGGAUUUAUUGGGUUUAAAGGGUGCGUAGGCGGAGCGUUAAGUCAGUGGUCAAAUUGAGGGGCUCAACCCCUUCCCGCCAUUGAAACUGGCGCUCUUGAGUGGAAGAGAAGUAUGCGGAAUGCGUGGUGUAGCGGUGAAAUGCAUAGAUAUCACGCAGAACCCCGAUUGCGAAGGCAGCAUGCCGGCUUCCUACUGACGCUGAAGCACGAAAGCGUGGGGAUCGAACAGGAUUAGA
rnacentral:rRNA from 1 species